AGCACGCAAAAAAAAAAUUCUCUUGUGCUACAAUCAUCUCUUUCGUCGCUCGCUCAUUUUUUCAGGUUAACACUUCCCGCAAAAGCCUUUAUCUUACAGCCACAAAACGCUGGAAUAUUGUUCCUUCUGUUAAUAUUUCCGGCAAUUAUGUAAUUGUUGGGUCCGGUGUUUGCUUUGCCGGCGCUAGGAGCCGCUGCCGGGGGUUUGAUCACACAAGCAAAACGCAAGGCCGCACCGUAAAGACCACCCGGAGAUGCCAACAGCGCCGAUUCUUUUUUUUUUUAUGUUAAACUUGCAAUAAAGCUGCUUGCUUUCCUAACGGCCAAACAAACUUUGACGCCCUCUGCCACUUUCUUUUCCCCCCUCAUUAUUUCCACGAGACGCGAGCAAAACAAGAUACAACACCAGCUCCUCUCCUAAUAAAAAAAAAACCUUACCCCCCUACCGGCAUCAACACAAAAAGCAUAAAAAAAAUUUCAGGUCUUUAAAAGGUGUCCCUACUGUUUCUCUAACUUUCGAAAAAAAAAAGCUUCCAGCUUUACCCAAAAAAUUUAGUAAGGCGGGUUUUCUUCCUUUAAAAAAGCCUGUUUGGACCGUCGGGCGCGAGGUCCAACUCCACUCUCGAGCCGCCGACCCUGCCCUGCCACAGGCCACCCGUCGCGUGGCGCGAAGCAGCCGUAGACACACGCCGGCGCGGCACUGCGCCAACUCGGGCAUCGCAGCACGGCCUCUGCCUCGAGCCCUCCCCACCCACCCGCCUUGCAGUGCCGCCUCACAGCCGCUCCCCAUUUGUGCCGGUGGCCGCGUGGUGCAUCUCCCGCGGUGGCGCAGGCUCCCUCCACCGGUGGGCGGCGAGGGCGGGGCGGGAUGUGCUCGAGUCGCGCUGGCGCCUCGUCGAUCGUAUGGAUGGUGCAGGCGUGCUCGCGGUCUCGGGUCGCUCCGACGCCACGCCGUCGAGGGUGUGGCCGUCGGCAUCGGUGGCGAUGAGGCGCCCUGACUUCGCCACGUCGCAGGCGCUCGGCCCUGUGACCGCCGGAAGUGGCUCUUGCACUUGGCAGGGACAGAGGGGCCGCCCGGCUUCCUCGCACGGUGGGGGUGCUGGGCUGUGAAGAUGCGCUGUGAUGAUUUUGGUCGGCAGGGCCAAUUGGAAGGUAAAAUGGGUAGCAAUGCAUUGGGCACUGACGAGAUUGUUAAGCGUCUGCGAUAUCCCGAGAGAGGGCGAAACCGGUUGUAUGAAAUUCGUUGAUGGUAGCGGCGCUUGGGUGUUGAAAAGGGCUUAGGUAGACUGGGGGGGGGGUUGCCUUAGAUGAGUUUUGGUGAAGGAAAAACGACUGGUAGUUUUUUGUGUAUAAGUCCGUGGGCGCCCCAUCUUGACUUUCCAAAUUGACUCAUAUGGUCAAAUGUUUUAAUUAAAGUACUCUCCAGUUAAUUCUUCGACAAAGGCAGCAAAUGCUUCUCACAUCGGGGUGCAACAAGGGUGCGUGUAGUCACCAUAAAUCCUAAGCAGGAAAAAGGUUGUUUUUCAGUCCUUUGCCACGCCCGUUUUACAGGCUUUCUUUUGGAGGUCAAAUGUCGAUUUCUUCAUAUAACGUGAGGUCCCGUUCCACUCUCGAGCCGCCGACCCUGCCCUGCCACAGGCCACCCGUCGCGUGGCGCGAAGCAGCCGUAGACACACGCCGGCGCGGCACUGCGCCAACUCGGGCAUCGCAGCACGGCCUCUGCCUCGAGCCCUCCCCACCCACCCGCCUUGCAGUGCCGCCUCACAGCCGCUCCCCAUUUGUGCCGGUGGCCGCGUGGUGCAUCUCCCGCGGUGGCGCAGGCUCCCUCCACCGGUGGGCGGCGAGGGCGGGGAGGGAUGUGUUCGAGUCGCGCUGGCGCCUCGUCGAUCGUAUGGAUGGUGCAGGCGUGCUCGCGGUCUCGGGUCGCUCCGACGCCACGCCGUCGAGGGUGUGGCCGUCGGCAUCGGUGGCGAUGAGGCGCCCUGACUUCGCCACGUCGCAGGCGCUCGGCCCUGUGACCGCCGGAAGUGGCUCUGGCACUUGGCAGGGACAGAGGGACCGCCUGGCUUCCUCACACAGUGGGGGUGCUGGACCCUGAGAUGCCACGAUGGCUUGGAUGUUGUAAUCAGUGUUUUUGCUGAUGUCUCAAUGGAAACGGUAUUUAAAAAUGAUAGGUGGAGUGAGCUGCUGCUGAAGGAGUGGAAACUUAGUCUUAGGCGGUGAUGCUGUGUGUGCAGAAAGGGGGUGGUGAAUGUUGUGAAAGGGUUUUUUGAACAGCUAGAUUUUUCGAGGAUUAUUAUAUUUGUGGUUUCAGUGAGUGUUGAGUGCAUAUUGUUUGUGCAGCAGGGUAUCACGUUCUGUUAAUCGGCAAUUCUGUUGUGUAGCAGAUUGAGAUGCUUUCGGAUAGCUGUGGUAAUUAUGUUUCGGAGGAGUCGCCCACACUCUUGGGAAUAUCCCAGCAGGCACACAAUGCUGCGGGCUUGCGAGUUCCGGCAUCUCGCAAUAUUCGUGGUGAUAUUGUUUCGGUCGAGUAGAAAUUCUCGAAGAUGCACACCUGUAUUUCCUUUUCCCCUCAAUUCUUUCUUUUGACACUCAAUGAAG
rnacentral:misc_RNA from 1 species